UGGGGAAUAUUGCACAAUGGGCGCAAGCCUGAUGCAGCCGUGCCGCGUGUAUGAAGAAGGCCUUCGGGUUGUAAAGUACUUUCAGCGAGGAGGAAGGCAUUGUGGUUAAUAACCACAGUGAUUGACGUUACUCGCAGAAGAAGCACCGGCUAACUCCGUGCCAGCAGCCGCGGUAAUACGGAGGGUGCAAGCGUUAAUCGGAAUUACUGGGCGUAAAGCGCACGCAGGCGGUCUGUCAAGUCGGAUGUGAAAUCCCCGGGCUCAACCUGGGAACUGCAUUCGAAACUGGCAGGCUAGAGUCUUGUAGAGGGGGGUAGAAUUCCAGGUGUAGCGGUGAAAUGCGUAGAGAUCUGGAGGAAUACCGGUGGCGAAGGCGGCCCCAUGGGCAAAGACUGACGCUCAGGUGCGAAAGCGGGGGGAGAAAACA
rnacentral:rRNA from 1 species